rnacentral:rRNA from 1 species
CAGUAGCCGCGGUAAUACAGAGGGUGCGAGCGUUAAUCGGAUUUACUGGGCGUAAAGCGUGCGUAGGCGGCUUUUUAAGUCGGAUGUGAAAUCCCUGAGCUUAACUUAGGAAUUGCAUUCGAUACUGGGAAGCUAGAGUAUGGGAGAGGAUGGUAGAAUUCCAGGUGUAGCGGUGAAAUGCGUAGAGAUCUGGAGGAAUACCGAUGGCGAAGGCAGCCAUCUGGACUAAUACUGACGCUGAGGUACGAAAGCAUGGGGAGCAAACAGGAUUAGAUACCCGCGUAGUCCCUGUCUCUUAUAC